UACGUAGGUGGCAAGCGUUGUCCGGAUUUACUGGGCGUAAAGGGCGUGCAGGCGGUCUGUUAAGUCUAGGGUGAAAGCUCCCGGCUCAACUGGGAGAGGUCCUUGGAUACUGGCGGACUUGAGGGAGGCAGAGGAGAGUGGAAUUCCCGGUGUAGUGGUGAUAUGCGUAGAUAUCGGGAGGAACACCAGUGGCGAAGGCGGCAUCCUGGACCAACACUGACACUGAUGAGCGAAAGCCAGGGGAGCAAACGGG
rnacentral:rRNA from 1 species